UACGGGGGGGGCAAGCGUUGUUCGGAAUUACUGGGCGUAAAGGGUUCGUAGGUGGCCAACUAAGUCAGACGUGAAAUCCCUCAGCUUAACUGGGGAACUGCGUCUGAUACUGGAUGGCUUGAGUGCAGGAGAGGAACGCGGAAUUCCAGGUGUAGCGGUGAAAUGCGUAGAUAUCGUAAGGAAGACCAGUGGCGAAGGCGAGUCUCUGGACAGCAACUGACGCUGAGGCACGAAGGCCAGGGGAGCAAACGGG
rnacentral:rRNA from 1 species